CCAACGGCCCUUCUCAGGGCCAUGUAAAUAUCAAAGUGUAAAAUA
rfam:Camponotus floridanus CamFlo_1.0_4.contig6719, whole genome shotgun sequence.